UUUCAGCCACUUUUUCGAUUUUUGAAAAAGAGGUGAAAAUCGGCAAAAAAGUAAGGCCUUUCUUUCUUUAUCUGUUUCUCUGUCUGUUUUUUCUUUCUUUAUCUGUUUGUCUGUCUGUUUUUUCUUUCUUUAUCUGUUUGUCUGUCUGUUUUUCUUUCUUUAUCUGUUUCUCUGUCUGUUUUUUCUUUCUUUAUCUGUUUCUCUGUCUGUUUUUUCUUUCUUUAUUUGUUUGUCUGUCUGUUUUUUCUUUCUUUAUCUGUUUGUCUGUCUGUUUUUUCUUUCUUUAUCUGUUUCUCUGUCUGUUUUUUCUUUCUUUAUCUGUUUGUCUGUCUGUUUUUUCUUUCUUUAUCUGUUUGUCUGUCUGUUUUUUCUUUCUUUAUCUGUUUGUCUGUCUGUUUUUUCUUUCUUUAUCUGUUUGUCUGUCUGUUUUUUCUUUCUUUAUCUAUUUGUCUCUCUGUUUUUUCCUUCUUUUAUCUGUUUCUCUGUCUGUUUUUUCUUUCUUUAUCUGUUUGUCUGUCUGUUUUUUCUUUCUUUAUCUAUUUGUCUCUCUGUUUUUUCUUUCUUUAUCUGUUUG